GACGCUGGCGGCAGGCUUAACACAUGCAAGUCGAACGAAGUCUUCGGACUUAGUGGCAGACGGGUGAGUAACGCGUGGGAACCUACCCUUUGGUACGGAACAACAGUUGGAAACGACUGCUAAUACCGUAUGAGCCCUACGGGGGAAAGAUUUAUCGCCAAAGGAUGGGCCCGCGUUGGAUUAGCUAGUUGGUGGGGUAAAAGCCUACCAAGGCGACGAUCCAUAGCUGGUCUGAGAGGAUGAUCAGCCACACUGGGACUGAGACACGGCCCAGACUCCUACGGGAGGCAGCAGUGGGGAAUAUUGGACAAUGGGGGCAACCCUGAUCCAGCCAUGCCGCGUGAGUGAUGAAGGCCCUAGGGUUGUAAAGCUCUUUCAGCGAGGAGGAUAAUGACGUUAC
rnacentral:rRNA from 1 species